AGUCUUCUGUCCUGCCGAGCCCAGUGUGGGGAAGGCUUCUCAAUCCUCCCUCGCUCGCGAUCUCCCAAACCGCAUUGUAUUGAGGGAGUUUUCGUUCCCUUCUGCCUCGUGUUGUCUCUUGGGCAGAGGUCGUUGCCUCUUCCUUUGCUUUUGAGAAAAGCUUUGUGAGGGCGCUCCGCUGCUGGUGGGCGUAGAACUUUCAAAUCCUGAAGAUUUUCUUUGAUCUUUGGUGCCUGAAAUGCUCUGCCUUUCUGGUCUCUCUUGGUGUCUGGGUCACGUGCUGCCUUGAUGUAUGAGAUGGGUCAACAGACAACGACAUAACAGCUUUGGUGAUGAUACACUACAGGUUGUAAUGACAGCCAUCAGUCAAAGCUUGGCCUGCUCAUCCUUCACGACCAGCACCACGCCCAAGGCACAUGGCGUCCCCACUGUGGAAGGAAAAGCACGAGCUACAACAGACCAACAAUUCUGGAGAAGGAGAUGCAUUAGUCUCCCUUGACUCCGCCUGUGUCCGGGAAGUGGACAGAGUGCAGCCAGAGAUCCUGUGCGUGUACGUGUGUGUGUGUGUGUGUGUGUGUGUGUACGUGAAUGAGUGUGAGUAUGUGUGUGUGUGUGUGUGAGUAUAUGUGUGUGUGUGUGUGUGAGUAUAUAUGUGUGUGUGUGUGUGUGUG